rnacentral:rRNA from 1 species
UUGACCUCAAUUCAGGUAGGACUACCCGCUGAACUUAAGCAUAUCAAUAAGCGGAGGA